CGUUCACUUCCACAGCGGUGCUCAGCCCGUAGUUAAGGUCUCAGGGGCGCUCUGCAGAGCCGGGUUCUCCUACCCGCCUUCCUUCUACAGACAAGCUCGCGCCUGCGCAGCCACUACCUUCUCUCGGGCUCGCCCGCUUCAAAUGCGCUCUAGCCACGUAACAAUGGCGCCACCGCAGCCCCACCUCCGGGCGUUGGCCGCUGAGGCCCCGCCUCGCCCGCUGUCCUUAUGGCCUGAAGGCUGGACUUGGCCGCCUCCCUGAUAAAGGGGGAGAUCAUGAGGGGCCAGCUCGCGGUCACGCCUGCAGUCGACAGUUGGAUGGGGACGUGGGUCCACCGGCUUCUCUUCCAGGUGGUAAGAUUAAUCUGGUUCCUGAUCCUCAAUCCAUUUUGCUCAGAAGCGGAAAAUUGAAGAAAUGAGGUGUACAUUUCAUCUUUGGUUGCACUCUAAAUGGAAGAGUAUAUGAAAUGGCCCUGGUGAGAAAAAAAAACAAAACAAAAAACUGAGAAAACAUGGGACACAGGUAUACUGACAUUCAAGUCACAGAGAACUGAAGUAAAUUGGAUGUUAACGUAUAUCGAUGCAUGUAGCAUUAGUCCAUACAGCCCCUGUCUUAAAGCUACUUUUAUAGGAAAACUCCACUUAUUUCAGUCAAACUACUUAACAAUAAAGAACUGAUACUAGUAGAACUG